rnacentral:rRNA from 1 species
AAUGAACGUUGGCGGCGUGGAUUAGGCAUGCAAGUCGUACGGACCGUGGUAGCAAUAUUACGGUUAGUGGCGCAAGGGAGAGUAAUACGUAGGUAUUUACCCUGGGGUCUGGGAUAGCGGCGGGAAACUGCCGGUAAUACCAGAUGAUAUCUCCGGAUCAAAGGUGUGAUUCCGCCCUAGGGGAAGCCUGCGGUCUAUCAGCUAGUUGGUAGGGUAACGGCCUACCAAGGCAAAGACGGAUAUGGGGCGUGAGAGCGUGCCCCCACUCACUGGGACUGAGACACUGCCCAGACACCUACGGGUGGCUGCAGUCGAGAAUCUUCGGCAAUGGGCGCAAGCCUGACCGAGCGACGCCGCGUGCGGGAUGAAGGCCUUCGGGUUGUAAACCGCUGUCGAAGGGGAGGAAAUUGUAGUGGGUUCACCCAUUAUAUUGACCGAUCCUUGGAGGAAGGGCCGGCUAAUCUCGUGCCAGCAGCCGCGGUAA